UACGUAGGGGGCUAGCGUUGUCCGGAAUCAUUGGGCGUAAAGCGCGUGUAGGCGGUCCGGUAAGUCCGCUGUGAAAGUCGGGGGCUCAACCCUCGAAUGCCGGUGGAUACUGUCGGGCUAGAGUGCGGAAGAGGCGAGUGGAAUUCCUGGUGUAGCGGUGAAAUGCGCAGAUAUCAGGAGGAACACCGGUGGCGAAGGCGGAUCUCUGGGCCUUACCUGACGCUGAGGCGCGAAAGCUAGGGGAGCGAACGGG
rnacentral:rRNA from 1 species